rnacentral:rRNA from 1 species
ACUCCUACGGGAGGCAGCAGUGGGAAUAUUGGACAAUGGGGAACCCGUAGCAUCCAGCCAUGCCGCGUGUGUGAAGAAGGCCUUCGGGUUGUAAAAGCACUUUCAGUGGGGAGGAAAGGUUGAUGGUUAAUACCUAUCAGCUGUGACGUUACCCACAGAAGAAGCACCGGCUAACUCCGUGCCAGCAGCCGCGGUAAUACGGAGGGUGCGAGCGUUAAUCGGAAUUACUGGGCGUAAAGCGCAUGCAGGUGGUUUGUUAAGUCAGAUGUGAAAGCCCGGGGCUCAACCUCGGAAUUGCAUUUGAAACUGGCAGACUAGAGUACUGUAGAGGGGGUAGG